CUCACGGCAGCAGAGCCCCCAGCUCCAACCCAAACCGCACGAAACGGAGGGGGUUGAUGACUUCAAGACACUCAAACAGGCAUGCUCCUCGGAAUACCAAGGAGCGCAAGGUGCGUUCAAAGAUUCGAUGAUUCACUGAAUUCUGCAAUUCACAUUA
rnacentral:rRNA from 1 species